UAGCCAAAUGCCUCGUCAUCUA
rnacentral:ncRNA from 4 species